UGACUCCAAUUUUGGAAGACGUUCUACUAUGGGUAAAAGAGCAGCAAGCAGUGCACAUUACAGAGAAAUCUUUUGUGAAAGGAAGAGAUCAACCGAUUGGGCAAACUUAACUGUUGUCUUAUUUUAAGAAGUUGCCACAGUCACCCCACCCUUCAGCAACCGUCAGACUGAUCAGUCAGCAGCCAUCACCAAUGAGACCCUCUUUUGCAAAACAGGCAGAAGUCAAGGAGUACCACUGAUGAUCAGCAAAAUAAGAUUCAAGGAUCAUUACCACAUAGAAAUACUGGUGACAACAAUAAAAGCA